CUUGCUUUAGUUUACUUCCCUUGAGUCUCUGCUCCCUUCUUGGUUAGACAUUCUCUAAAAGCUGCUGCAGUUACAUGACCUCUAUCCAGUGGACUUUCCCUGGGAAGCUAGAGCAUAUCAUCAAGUCAGUAUUCAGGAAAAAUUAUGCCUUGAUUUAUAUAGGAUUUUCUCUUUCACGGACUCUUCCUAUACAAUUUUAAAAAUUUGAUCCUCACCACAGCCUUGUCAAUUGGUUAGCGCAGAUACUAGCCUUAAUUUGCAAAUUUAGGAGCUGAGAGUCACAACGCUGAAAUAAAUGUCUAAGGUUUCAGACCAAAUUCUUCUGAUUCCUCACAUGUUGUUCUUGUAGCUUUCUACAAGUCAGUGUGGAACAUAUCACAAAAUGGUCCACAGAGAAGAAACUACCACAAACCACCAUUCUUGCAUUCACCCUAGUGGAAUGAACUCUGCUUCCUUUAUUCCUCUAAGAAAUUAGUAUGGAAUUUUAAAUGUCUACUAGAUUUCCCUCACAAGGAAUCUCCUAUAUGAGAAUCAGAAUAUUUUCAUGUCCCUGGGAUGCUAAUGUUAAGGUGGACCUGGCAAUGGUGUGAGAGUUCAGCACAGAAAUUAGUAGUCAGGAGACAACCUUCAGCCCAGGUUUUGUCAAAUAUUUGCUCUAAGACUCUGGGCUAGUAGCUUAGCCUUUCUUGGUGUUAUCUAUAAAUUAAUAACACUUUUUAGGAUCAUGUGAUUGGACAGGCCCCUUUGAAAGUUCAAUAAAAUUAAGUAACCUUACAUAAAUUUUUAUUUUUAUGAAUUAUUAGUUCUUUCAGCUAUCUCUUCUUGCCAAUCUUUAAAAAAUUGAUCUUCUAUUACAUUUAUGCUAACUUGAGAUUAAUACAUCUUUUCAAGAGCUAUUUGCAUCUUCAUAUAGUAUAUGAUGUCCUUCUGUGUUCCCCUCUCUCCAAAGUUGGAUCACUGGCCAUUUAAAAUUGAUCAUAGUGUAGAAGGUGGCUGGCAAGAUGGUCGAAUAGGAAGAACUCCGGUCUGCAGCUCCCAGCGAUAUCAAUGCAGAAGUGCAGAAGACACAGAAGACAUCUGUGCAGCAAGCUGA
rnacentral:lncRNA from 1 species